AAUCACUGCUCCUGACUUGCUUGUUCCGAGUCGAUAACGCAUUUUAUGGCAUCAGUUUGUGUUUUUCGUUCCGAUGUUGAUUGUAACCAAAGCUUUUAAUGGGUUUUAUUUGGAUGCUAUACAUGUAAUGAUGUUUAUUUUGUUUUUAAAAAGACAAAAUAGAAAACACAUGGUGAUUGAAAAUACUAGAAGAAAGUUAUUUGAUAUUGAAAGUUGCGUGACAGUCUGUGACAGUUGACAAUAUUGCAGGGUUACGUAAUCAAUUAUAGUGAAAUGCUUGCGUACAUAGAAACUAAUAAAAUCUAUUUGGAAAAAGCUUUAAGGGAAUUUCUGCUCAAGGACACAUCUGACGUUGGACAUCGUCCAUCAGAGUGAAAAAAGAUAUGUCAUCAAUGUGGAUAAGAAUGUGCAGUGGCGUGUAUCCUGCCCAAAUCGGUGAAUGUGUUCGAAGUUGUGCAUUGACGUCU